UGAGAUAUAGUGUAAUGGUAACACUGUAGGUUUUGGUCCUGCCAUUAUAGGUUCGAAUCCUAUUGUCUCAACUA
rnacentral:tRNA from 1 species